rnacentral:rRNA from 1 species
AUUGAACGCUGGCGGCAUGCCUUACACAUGCAAGUCGAACGGCAGCACGGGGCAACCUGGUGGCGAGCGGCGAACGGGUGAGUAAUGCAUCGGAACGUACCUUUCAGUGGGGGAUAACGUAGCGAAAGUUACGCUAAUACCGCAUAUUCUGUGAGCAAGAAAGCAGGGGAUCGCAAGACCUUGCGCUGAUUGAGCGGCCGAUGUCAGAUUAGCUAGUUGGUGAGGUAAAGGCUCACCAAGGCGACGAUCUGUAGCGGGUCUGAGAGGAUGAUCCGCCACACUGGAACUGAGACACGGUCCAGACUCCUACGGGAGGCAGCAGUGGGGAAUUUUGGACAAUGGGGGCAACCCUGAUCCAGCCAUGCCGCGUGAGUGAAGAAGGCCUUCGGGUUGUAAAGCUCUUUCGGCCGGGAAGAAAUCGCACGGGCUAAUACCCUGUGUGGAUGACGGUACCGGAAUAAGGAGCACCGGCUAACUACGUGCCAGCCGCCGCAGUAAAAC